CAGGGUCCAAUAAUGGCGAUGAUAUGUCACACUUACGGUGAAAGUGAAUUGCAAGGGCAUUUCUGUACACAUUCCUUUAAGGGUCAUAAAGGGGUUGUGACAAGUGUUAUUUUUCAUCCUGACCCAACUUGUUGGCUGCUUUAUUCUGGAUCUGAUGAUACAACUGUACGCAUUUGGGAUGUGUUGCAACCUUAGAAAGACAUCGUUCAUAUGUGACAACCGUUGCAAUAACAGAAGAUGGGGGAACCUUGUUGAGUGGUGGCAGAGAUCAGGUUGUAAACAUGGGGAACCUUCAUGACUACAGCUGCACAAAGAGUUUACCUAC